UGGAUUAGUGGCGAACGGGUGAGUAAUACGUGAGUAACCUACCUUUAACUCUGGGAUAAGCCCGGGAAACUGGGUCUAAUACCGGAUACGACCAAUCUCCGCAUGGGGUGUUGGUGGAAAGCGUUAUGUAGUGGUUAUAGAUGGGCUCACGGCCUAUCAGCUUGUUGGUGAGGUAACGGCUCACCAAGGCGACGACGGGUAGCCGGCCUGAGAGGGUGACCGGCCACAUUGGGACUGAGACACGGCCCAA
rnacentral:rRNA from 1 species